UAUGAAUGUUCUGUGAUGGUUGUAUGAAUGUUCUGUGAUGGUUGUGUGAAUGUUCUGUGAUGGUUGUAUGAAUGUUCUGUGAUGGUUGUGUGGAGGUUCCUCCCAAUACAUUGAGGUUGACAGGUCUUCUCAGUGUUCUCUGACCCUGAGGUAGUGUUAGGGGUCAGGGUUAGGUAGGGUUACUGAGGUAGUGAUAGGGGUCGGGGUUAGGUAGGGUUACUGAGGUAGUGUUAGGGGUCAGGGUUAGGUAGGGUUAGUGAGGUAGGGUUAGGGGUCAGGGUUAGGUAGGGUUACUGAGGUAGUGUUAGGGGUCAGGGUUAGGUAGGGUUACUGAGGUAGUGAUAGGGGUCAGGGUUAGGUAGGGUUACUGAGGUAGUGUUAGGGGUCAGGGUUAGGUAGGGUUACUGAGGUAGUGUUAGGGGUCGGGGUUAGGUAGGGUUACUGAGGUAGGGUUAGGGGUCAGGGUUAGGUAGGGUUAGUGAGGUAGUGUUAGGGGUCGGGGUUAGGUAGGGUUAGUGAGAUGGGGUCAGGGUUAGGUAGGGUUAGGGGUCGGGGUUAGGUAGGGUUACUGAGGUAGGGUUAGGGGUCAGGGUUAGGUAGGGUUACUGAGGUAGUGUUAGGGGUCAGGGUUAGGUAGGGUUAGUGAGGUAGGGUUAGGGGUCAGGAUUAGGUAGGUUAGUGAGGUGGGGUCAGGGUUAGGUAGGGUUGGGGGUCAGGGUUAGGUAGGGUUACUGAGGUAGGGUUACGGGUCAGGGUUAGGUAGGGUUAGUGAAGUAGGGUUAGGGGUCUGGGUUGUUUGUUUGGUAGGGUUAGUUUGAUAGACAGGUGUCAGAUUUAGUGUCUGAGCCUGAACCAACUGACCUCUAAACUCUAACCUCUGACCUGGAAGUCUUAUGAAUAGCUCUCUGGCAUUGCUGUCUGACCUCGUACCCGACAGGAAGUCUGAGGUCUUACGCAAAACACAACUCUGUCCUCCAGACU